CCUACGGGUGGCAGCAGUGAGGAAUAUUGGUCAAUGGACGAGAGUCUGAACCAGCCAAGUAGCGUGAAGGAUGACUGCCCUAUGGGUUGUAAACUUCUUUUAUAUGGGAAUAAAACGUUCCACGUGUGGGAUUUUGUAUGUACCAUAUGAAUAAGGAUCGGCUAACUCCGUGCCAGCAGCCGCGGUAAUACGGAGGAUCCGAGCGUUAUCCGGAUUUAUUGGGUUUAAAGGGAGCGUAGGUGGAUUGUUAAGUCAGUUGUGAAAGUUUGCGGCUCAACCGUAAAAUUGCAGUUGAAACUGGCAGUCUUGAGUACAGUAGAGGUGGGCGGAAUUCGUGGUGUAGCGGUGAAAUGCUUAGAUAUCACGAAGAACUCCGAUUGCGAAGGCAGUUCACUGGCCUGCAACUGACACUGAGGCUCGAAAGUGUGGGUAUCAAACAGGAUUAGAUACCCCUGUAGUC
rnacentral:rRNA from 1 species